rnacentral:rRNA from 1 species
UAGCCUGCUAUUGGUAUAACCUUAGUUGGCAGAACGGGUUGAGUAAUGUAUAGGAAUCCUACCUAGUAGUACGGAAUAAUUAGUUGGAAACGGCAACUAAUACCGUAUACGCCCUACGGGGAAAAAUUUAUUGCUAUUAGAUGAGCCUAUAUUAGAUUAGCUAGUUGGUGGGGUAAUAGCCUACCAAGGCAAUGAUCUAUAGCUGAUCUGAGAGGAUGAUCAGCCACACUGGAACUGAGAUACGGUCCAGACUUCUACGGGAGGCAGCAGUGGGGAAUAUUGGACAAUGGGCGAAAGCCUGAUCCAGCCAUGUCGCAUGAGUGAAGAAGGCCUUUGGGUUGUAAAGCUCUUUUAGUGAGGAAGAUAAUGACGGUACUCACAGAAGAAGUCCUGGCUAACUCCGUGCCAGCAGCCGCGGUAAUACGGAGAGGGCUAGCGUUAUUCGGAAUUAUUGGGCGUAAAGGGCGCGUAGGCUGAUUAAUAAGUUAAAAGUGAAAUCCCAAGGCUUAACCUUGGAAUUGCUUUUAAAACUAUUAAUCUAGAGAUUGAAAGAGGAUAGAGGAAUUCCUGAUGUAGAGGUAAAAUUCAUAAAUAUUAGGAGGAACACCAGUGGCGAAGGCGUCUAUCUGGUUCAAAUCUGACGCUGAGGCGCGAAGGCGUGGGGAGCAAACAGGAUUGGAUACCCUGGUAGUCCACGCUGUAAACGAUGAAUGUUAAAUAUGGGAAGUUUACUUUCUGUAUUACAGCUAACGCGUUAAACAUUCCGCCUGGGGACUACGGUCGCAAGAUUAAAACUCAAAGGAAUUGACGGGGACCCGCACAAGCGGUGGAGCAUGUGGUUUAAUUCGAUGCAACGCGAAAAACCUUACCACUUCUUGACAUGAAAAUCAUACCUAUUC